CUAGAAGUAUUGCGUUCUCAGGGUACAUGGAUGCAUUCAGAGCAUAUUCAUUGAUGGGAUUAUUUCCCUUCGUAAUGGGAACCAUGCAUUUUGAGGGAAUUACAAGAUUUUGCAGGUAAUCCCUAGUUGGUGAUGGCAUUAUAUUUGAUGAAUGUCCUUGUUGUUUUGAAAAUGUAAGGUAUGUUGGUAAUUUAAUGUAAAGGUAAUGUAAAAUCUAAGGUAUGUUGCUGAUGUAAAGCUAAUGUCAAAUGUAAGGUAUGUUGGUAAUUUAAUGUAAAGGUUAUGUAAAAUGUAAGGUAUGUUGGUAAUUUAAUGUAAAGGUUAUGUAAAAUGUAAGGUAUGUUGGUAAUUUAAUGUAAAGGUUAUGUAAAAUGUAAGGUAUGUUGGUAAUUUAAUGUAAUUUAAUGUAAAAUGUAAGGUAUGUUGGUAAUUUAAUGUAAAGGUUAUAUAAAAUGUAAGGUAUGUUGGUAAUUUAAUGUAAAGGUUAUAUAAAAUGUAAGGUAUGUUGGUAAUUUAAUGUAAAGGUAAUGUUGUAAAAUGUAAGGUAUGUUGGUAAUUUAAUGUAAAGGUUAUAUAAAAUGUAAGGUAUGUUGGUAAUUUAAUGUAAAGGUAAUGUUGUAAAAUGUAAGGUAUGUUGGUAAUUUAAUGUAAUUUAAUGUCAAAUGUAAGGUAUGUUGUAAAGGAGUUGCAAAAGUAAAUGAGAAAAACUAAGAAAUGAUGACUUGACUGUCAUGGGAAUAUAACACUAUAACAGUAACACAAUGUAGAUACAAGGCACAUGAGGUUUCAUAUCCUUUAUUUAGUUCCCUCUUUUACUAAGAGCUU
ensembl:lncRNA